rnacentral:rRNA from 1 species
UGAGGAAUAUUGCUCAAUGGACGAAAGUCUGAAGCAGCAACGCCGCGUGAGGGAUGAAGGAGCUUUGCUUUGUAAACCUCUGUAGUUGGAGACAAAUGUAGGGUUACUACCCUAUUGAUGGUAUCCAAAAAGUAAGGAUCGGCUAACUACGUGCCAGCAGCCGCGGUAAUACGUAGGAUCCAAGCGUUGUCCGGAUUUACUGGGUGUAAAGGGUGCGCAGGCGGAAUAGUAAGUCAGAGGUGAAAUCUCAUCGCUUAACGGUGAAACUGCCUUUGAUACUAUUAUUCUUGAGUCCGGUAGAGAUCUGUGGAAUUCCGAGUGUAGCAGUGAAAUGUGUAGAUAUUCGGAAGAACACCAGUGGCGAAGGCAGCAGAUUGGGCCGGUACUGACGCUCAGGCACGAAAGCAUGGGGAUCAAACAGGAUUAGAUACCCGUGUAGUCC